rnacentral:rRNA from 1 species
GGCUCAGGAUGAACGCUAGCUACAGGCUUAACACAUGCAAGUCGAGGGGCAGCGCAGUGUAGCAAUACAGUGGGCGGCGACCGGCGCACGGGUGCGUAACGCGUAUCCAACCUUCCCGUUACUCAGGGAUAGCCUUCCGAAAGGGAGAUUAAUACCUGAUGGUGUUGAAAUUCCGCAUGUUAUUUCAACUAAAGAUUUAUCGGUAACGGAUGGGGAUGCGUGACAUUAGAUAGUAGGCGGGGUAACGGCCCACCUAGUCUACGAUGUCUAGGGGUUCUGAGAGGAAGGUCCCCCACACUGGAACUGAGACACGGUCCAGACUCCUACGGGAGGCAGCAGUGAGGAAUAUUGGUCAAUGGUCGAGAGACUGAACCAGCCAUGCCGCGUGAAGGUCACGGCCCUAUGGGUCUUAAACUUCUUUUGUAAGGGAGCAAUAAGUCUCACGUGUGGGAUGAUGAGAGUACCUUACGAAUAAGCAUCGGCUAACUCCGUG